rnacentral:tRNA from 1 species
GACGACAUGGCCGAGAUUCGCUCGGGAAAAGGCGGCCGGCUUGCAGUCGGCACGAUCAUGGGUGCGAUUCCCGCUGUCGUCG